rnacentral:rRNA from 1 species
AGUGAACGCUGGCGGUAGGCCUAACACAUGCAAGUCGAACGGCAGCACAGUAAGAGCUUGCUCUUACGGGUGGCGAGUGGCGGACGGGUGAGGAAUACAUCGGAAUCUACUUUUUCGUGGGGGAUAACGUAGGGAAACUUACGCUAAUACCGCAUACGACCUACGGGUGAAAGCAGGGGAUCUUCGGACCUUGCGCGAUUGAAUGAGCCGAUGUCGGAUUAGCUAGUUGGCGGGGUAAAGGCCCACCAAGGCGACGAUCCGUAGCUGGUCUGAGAGGAUGAUCAGCCACACUAGAACUGAGACACGGUCCAGACUCCUAAGGGAGGCAGCAGUGGGGAAUAUUGGACAAUGGGCGCAAGCCUGAUCCAGCCAUACCGCGUGGGUGAAGAAGGCCUUCGGGUUGUAAAGCCCUUUUGUUGGGAAAGAAAAGCAGCAGGUUAAUACCCCGCUGUUCUGACGGUACCCAAAGAAUAAGCACCGGCUAACUUCGUG